rnacentral:rRNA from 1 species
GAUGAACGCUGGCGGCGUGCCUAAUACAUGCAAGUCGAGCGAACAGAUAAGGAGCUUGCUCCUUUGACGUUAGCGGCGGACGGGUGAGUAACACGUGGGUAACCUACCUAUAAGACUGGAAUAACUCCGGGAAACCGGGGCUAAUGCCGGAUAACAUUUAGAACCGCAUGGUUCUAAAGUGAAAGAUGGUUUUGCUAUCACUUAUAGAUGGACCCGCGCCGUAUUAGCUAGUUGGUAAGGUAACGGCUUACCAAGGCAACGAUACGUAGCCGACCUGAGAGGGGGAUCGGCCACACUGGAACGGAGACACGGUCCAGACUCCUACGGGAGGCAGCAGUAGGGAAUCUUCCGCAAUGGGCGAAAGCCUGACGGAGCAACGCCGCGUGAGUGAUGAAGGUCUUCGGAUCGUAAAACUCUGUUAUUAGGGAAGAACAAAUGUGUAAGUAACUGUGCACGUCUUGACGGUACCUAAUCAGAAAGCCACGGCUAACUACGUG